UCAAGCUGACGAGUCCCAAAUGGGACGAAAUGUGCGUCCUGUAA
rnacentral:hammerhead_ribozyme from 1 species